rnacentral:tRNA from 1 species
GCCUGGGUGGCUCAGUCGGUUGGGUGUCCGACUUCCACUCAGGUCAUGAUCUUAUGGUCCGUGGGUUCGAGCCCCUCGUCGGGCU